rnacentral:rRNA from 1 species
GAUGAACGCUAGCUACAGGCUUAACACAUGCAAGUCGAGGGGUAACGAGAGGGAAGCUUGCUUUCCUUGUCGACGACCGGCGGAUGGGUGAGUAACGCGUAUCCAACCUGCCCUUCAGUAAGGGAUAGCCUUUCGAAAGAAAGAAUAAUACCUUAUGUGAUCGUCUGAUGACAUCAGACGACGAUGAAAGAUUUAUCGCUGAAGGAUGGGGUUGCGUCCCAUUAGGCAGUAGGCGGGGUAACGGCCCACCUAACCUACGAUGGGUAGGGGUUCUGAGAGGAAGGUCCCCCACAUUGGAACUGAGACACGGUCCAAACUCCUACGGGAGGCAGCAGUGAGGAAUAUUGGUCAAUGGCCGUAAGGCUGAACCAGCCAAGUAGCGUGCAGGAUGACGGCCCUAUGGGUUGUAAACUGCUUUUAAACGGGGAUAAAGUGAGCCACGUGUGGUUUAUUGCAGGUACCGUUUGAAUAAGGACCGGCUAAUUCCGUGCCAGCCGCCGCAGUAA